UGAACGCUGGCGGCGUGCUUAACACAUGCAAGUCGAACGAUGAUCCCAGCUUGCUGGGGGAUUAGUGGCGAACGGGUGAGUAACACGUGAGUAACCUGCCCUUGACUCUGGGAUAAGCCUGGGAAACUGGGUCUAAUACCGGAUAUGACUGUCUGACGCAUGUCAGGUGGUGGAAAGCUUUUGUGGUUUUGGAUGGACUCGCGGCCUAUCAGCUUGUUGGUGGGGUAAUGGCCUACCAAGGCGACGACGGGUAGCCGGCCUGAGAGGGUGACCGGCCACACUGGGACUGAGACACGGCCCAGACUCCUACGGGAGGCAGCAGUGGGGAAUAUUGCACAAUGGGCGCAAGCCUGAUGCAGCGACGCCGCGUGAGGGAUGACGGCCUUCGGGUUGUAAACCUCUUCCAGUAGGGAAGAAGCAAAAGUGACGGUACCUGCAGAAGAAGCGCCGGCUAACUACGUGCCAGCAGCCGCGGUAAUACGUAGGGCGCAAGCGUUAUCCGGAAUUAUUGGGCGUAAAGGGCUCGUAGGCGGUUUGUCGCGUCUGCUGUAAAAGACCCGGGCUCAACUCCGGUUCUGCAGUGGGUACGGGCAGACUAGAGUGCAGUAGGGGAGACUGGAAUUCC
rnacentral:rRNA from 1 species